CUACGGGAUGCUCCAGUUAGGAAUAAUCUACAAUGCGCGCAAGCGUGAUAGUUUGAGCCAGAGUGCUUUUCAACUGAAAAGCUUUUGUGAAAUGUAAAAAGUUUUACGAAUAAGGACUGGGUAAGACUAGUGCCAGCCGCCGCGGUAAUACUAGCGGUCCAAGUCGCAGCCAUUUUUAUUAGGUCUAAAACAUCCGUAGCUUGCUUAAUAAGUUUCUUGUGAAAUUUUGUAUCUUAAAUACAAAGCGUGCAAGAAGUACUGUUAAGCUAGAGACUGGGAGACGUAAGAAGUAUGUUCGAAGUAGCGGUAAGAUGCUUUAAUCUCGGACAGACUCACAAUAGCGAAGGCAUCUUACGAGAACAGUUCUGACAGUAAGGGAUGAAGGCUAGGGGCGCAAAACGGAUUAGAUACCCCUGUAGUC
rnacentral:rRNA from 1 species